CCUAACUAAUAACUAUAUCGUAAUUAAUGACUAAUGCGCCGUUGUAAUGAUCAUUAUGCUCUAUGGUCAUAAUUUGGCAGUAAAAUCAAAAUAUCGUCCAUGUCGUGACACACCGACUUCGAUCGGUACCUACCGCCGGUCGCCAGUCGUAAGUCGUCGACUCGCAUUACGCAGAAAGCUGCGGCUGCACCAGGUACCUAGCCCUCGUAAUCGUCAGUCGUGAGGAUCGUCCCGGCGGAUGGUGUUUGUCAUCGUUGUGGUCGUUAGCCUUCACAUCUCCCGAUCACAGUCGUCCGCAGUCAGUCAUCAGUAGACGCUGCGGCACCAAACCCUGAGCCUGUUCCAUGAUGCCGUUGCCCCGUCUGCCUGCCGUCGGCAGCGACUCGCCUAGAGUGCUGCGGAUGGUGGGAUACAAUCCCAGUUUCACGACGCUACAGGUCAGAGCCGGAUUAAGCAUACCAUAUGUGGGCUGAAAUCAAGUUAAAUUGAAGAAUUAAACCAGUUUCAAUACAUUAAUAGAUUAUUGGAAUGUCAAAUUUGAAAGUUCAAUCCCAAAAGAGGCAAGAAACGUGAUUAGAACUUUCCAUUACAUUUUGUAGAGAAUAAACAAAAGUUUGAAGGUGCUACAUUAAUAAUUCAUCAUACACCCGGACAUACAACUGAUCAUAUAGUUUUAUUUUGGGAAGAAGAUAUUGCAUUGUGCUAUGCUGAUUGUGUACUUGGAGAGGGAACUACUGUAUUUGAAGAUCUAACAGAAUAUUUAAAAUCAUGACAAUUGAUUUUAGACUUCAAUCCAACUGCUAUAUUUCCCAGUCACGGCUCUGUAAUAAAAGAUCCAAUUUCAAGUAAAUAAUUAUAUUAAGCAUAGAUUAGAAAGAGAAGUGGAAUUGUAUAACUUGAUUAAUAAAAGUCCAUCUGGAUCAUUGUCUGACGAAGAAAUUGUAAAUGUAAUGUAUA